UGAUAGUGUCAAUCCAAGCUAUGCUUGGUCA
rnacentral:sRNA from 1 species